UACGUAGGGGGCAAGCGUUGUCCGGAUUUAUUGGGCGUAAAGAGCGUGUAGGCGGCUAGGUAGGUCCGUUGUGAAAACUGGAGGCUCAACCUUCAGACGUCGAUGGAAACCAUCUGGCUAGAGUCCGGAAGAGGAGAGUGGAAUUCCUGGUGUAGCGGUGAAAUGCGCAGAUAUCAGGAAGAACACCCGUGGCGAAGGCGGCUCUCUGGGACGGUACUGACGCUGAGACGCGAAAGCGUGGGGAGCGAACAGG
rnacentral:rRNA from 1 species